AGUCGGACCAAGUUUAGCUGUUUAUUGAAUGCACUUGUGAACCAGCUUUUAUCUGUGCAGCUGCUCUUCACUUUCAAAUGAAGACGGCUGCGUCUUUAGCAGAUGCUGUAGUUGAAGUUGCGGUUGUGUGUUGUUUUGCUGAAAGACGACGGAGUGUGUAGACAAGCAAACAUGAAGCUGCAGAUGCAGUGUUUACGUUGGAGCACAAGUCUCAAAGGUGCCAUGUAAAAUUUGAUGCACAUUUAUUAAGUAGAGUGUAAAGUGUUUGCAGAGUCUGUUUCAGUCGGAGCUGCAGAUGUGAAUGAACUUUGUUUUCACCCAGCAGCCUGAGUGAUUUAUUGGUCUUCUUAGAAAGACGGGGAGGGGGUUAUGGUGAGACGUUGCUGGACAUAUAUGGAAGUCUGCUUCCCAUCUGCACUUCCUGAGUCACUUUUAAUGAACAAACUUCCAUUCCCUUUUAUUGGUUGCUGACUGUUUUAUUUAUGCUGACUAUCAUGUAUAUCUCUGCUCUCCCCAAUGGUAAUAAUUUAAAAAUUUAAGUGCAAUAUCACCGUCAUUUUGCUGAUUAAGCUUUUGUUUACAUUUUAUAUAUAUAUAUAUCAUCAAAUGGAUUAAUUCAUUCAACAUUGAUUUAAACUGAUUGAAACAUACGCCGCUAACAUAGAGUUUCUGCUAAAGGUUGUAUUGAUCUACAUGUUGGUACUCUACAGUUUAUAUCACUGCUCAUUUAUGUUUGAACACUAUUGUAAGUCUUUUUUUUAAUGUUGUUUAAGUUCUAUCACCAAGAGUACAAGCCAGUCAUGGCUGCCACCUGGGUUUACAUGGCCUCAGUGGGUACAGUUAUGUCACACCCACAUGGUGACACAGACACAGUGCUGACUGGGCUACUUUUUGAUACAAUGUUUGAAGUGUAAUAAUAGCAGAAAAUAACACUUGUAUGUAUUAAGACAUUACUUUUACAUUUGAAGUCAAUCAUAUUUGCAUUGUUGCUGUAUGUUAUACUGCCUUAAGUACGUAAUAUUGCUUAUUAUUUUUCACAGUUUUUUUUUCCCCCACAUUCUGACAUUUAUGCACUGCCCUAGCAAAACAUGUCAGUAAAAACGCUCUAGUACUCAAUUAGAUAUUAGAUACGUUUUACUGUUGAUUUCAGCGCAGAUACAGUUCAGUCACUACAUGUAUUUUAUCACAAUUGUUAAACCCAAAAAUUUAAUCUUAAUGAGAGGAGAAGUGAGACACUUUGUUUCUCUGAAGCGUUUGUGCCAGUUAAUGUGUGAACACACUGACUCAUGAGCUCUUAUCGAUCUGUCACAAUUUAGGUCCAGGGAUGGACUUGUGAACUGACCGUCCCCUGAUUGGCUGUGAUAGGAGAUGGUUACUGAUGUUGUCCUUAAUUCUUGACCUAGAAGUGGUUGACUGAAUCAACCGUAGACUGUAACACUAGGGGGCAGAGCAGACAAGGAGUUUGACAGGAAAUCACAUUAUGAGCUCAACUCAUCCUACCUUAAAUCCCUCCAGGUAAAUUUGGACACACCAGUGUACUUGGCCUAUCAUUAUCAUUACUAUAUCGUUGCUCCAGAGUCCAGUCUUUCUCUAGCAAAGGCAAAGCCAUUCUUGUUUCUCAUUAUAACAGUGACUCUUGAGUCUAGAGAGCAGGAUUUUGCAGGAUGUCAUAAUUGUUAAGUAUUUUAAGCAACAUCCUAAACAGAAGCAGAACCAUGACAUACGUCUUCUAGCAGUAAAACCCAGUCCUUUGGUGUCUAAAACUAUUAAAAAGAGACACAUUUGCCACUGCACACCGGUGCUAAGUGUUUUUGACAGGGCGAUGUAUAAACCAAUCAGUGCAUCCGUUCAUCUCAUCUUGUAAUUGAUCAACACUGUCUGAGUAUUUUUCUUUGUAAACAAACAUGAAGUCAGCUGUGGAGCAGCUCUCCGACCACACUACUGGUUGAAACAGUGAACUACAACUAUGACUACUUUGAGGUUCUCAUCUCAGACAGAGAGCAUUCCCUGAACUGAGCUUGUGUUCAGUUAAAGGUACUGGUUUUGAUGGUUUACAUUGUUAUUUUUUGUUACAUAAUGUGAAACAGCUUCAUUGACAGUGUUUACUAUGCUGUUUAUGAUCAUUUCUUUUACUCAUCACCAUAUUAAUGGCGACCUCUAUCAAAUGGAACUAAUUCUGUUACACUUGUUUCAGUCCCAAGUCUUCAGAGUGUUAGACCUUUGCACUGUAUGAUUUUGAAACAAAGGAGAGAUGAAGUGCUACUAUGGCUGGAAUGUAAGAAGUGGAGGGAGACGUAUGGUUGCAAAAGUGAAGUGGCUGUACAGGAUUAGGAGUUAGGAUUUUCCAGUUUUCCAGUAUGGAGCUUGGUUUCAGAUGAAAGACUAACAUCAAAAUUUAGGUACAGUUUUUUUCCUCAAAAGUUUAUGAUUAAAUUGCAGGUUUUACAUUCUAUUCAAAAAAGCACGUUAGCCUCGCAUGUCAAACAUCCUUUUGAUUGAAUGGUGAUUUCCGUAAAAAAAACGUUAUCAGUAAAAUCAUACAACAAAUUAAAUUUUACUCUAUAUGUAAGAAUCUAUAAAUAUUCCUGUGUGAAGAGUGUGUAUAUUUCUCCAUGUUUAGUUGAUUUAUUCAAUAGUUUUGUGGAUGAACUAUAUCUAAUACACACACUUCAGAAAUUACCAGGUUGAAACUGCACAAGUUAAAUGGGCAACAGUGUGAUCUAAGUCCUACAGGUCAAAUGCAGUGUGUAAGACACACCUUUGUCCACUAACUGCAUAUUCAAUCUUCCAUUGUUCCUUUAACCCUUUGUGCACAGGGUUUCAUAAAACAAAGAAAAAAACACUAGCAUUUCCAGCAGCUCCACUUAUGCAACCAUGUGGCUACAUCCAUUUCUUAUAUAUGGUCCAUGUGCUGUACCUUUAAAUAGUCAAACUCUUUUAGCUGUUUAAUGCAUGUUGCACCUUCUGGGAACACGUAAUCUAAUGCUGAAUAUCUUUAUUCCUUUCUGCUGCUGUUAGAAAAACAAGUCGUUUCUUGGCAGACUCUGUCAUCUCAUCUUGAUCUUGAAGCCUAAAUCCCUUCUCUGAAUGUAUUCUGUUGUGCUCUAAAAACCACAAAUAUGAAAUGUAUCCUAAAUAAUAUACUGUACACUAACGAGGCCAUUCCUGCCUGCCUUUAAGGUCUUUGGUGCAUCCAAAGAGGUCAUCGACGUCUGGUUUCGCUCUUCUUUGUGUUCCUUUGUGUUGAAACUCCGUUGCCUGACUCUGUUAAAGCGCAGUUUGUUGUGCGAUGAUGUGGUACAAAUGUUGAGAAAAUCCCUUUUGUGUUUUAUUUGAUCAGAAUAUAGUUCUCUCACGACCAAAAUGUUUGAUUCGCUUUGUAAGAUCCAAAGUGUUAUGGUUGUAAUUAAGUAAAAAUGCGGACAAUUGUGUUUUCCAUUACGGAAAAUCUUCUCUCUGAACGCCGUCCUACAUGUGUCAAAGUAGAAUCUCUGACUUUGCUCAUGUGUCAGACAUUUGGUCUGUGUUUGUCGACACAAACUACACACUGUGUAGUUCACUCUGUCACGUGGCCUCACCCUUCUGGACUCUUUAAAGUUGUGCUUCCAAUGAAUGGGAAUAUUGAAGGAUAACGGAUUGAAAUUGCAAAAGUUGGAAUAAAAGCUGAUAAUGUC